UUUGACACGCGGGCUCCUAAUUGCUAGGGAGCUCUUUUUAUAAAAAAAAAAAAACAAAACAAAAACAAAAUGGUAUAGCUGGGUGACUACAUUCGGGUUUUUUUUUUUCUAAAAAAAUAGUAUAGCCGUGCGGCUAUAUUGAUUUUGUCACACGGGGGAGAGUUCUUUUUAAAAAAAAAUAUGUAUAGCCGCUUUUUUAAAAAAAUAUAUGUAUAGCCGUGCGGCUAUACAUAUUUUGACACGUAAUCGCCAGACAAGUCGUUUUUUUGAAUAAAUAGUAUAGCCGUGCGGCUGUAUGUCUUAGUAUAGCCGGUCGGCUAUACCUUUUUUGACACGUGGUCAACUAGCCGCUAUGCGGCAAACUUUUUUUUUCAUAAAUAGUAUAGCCGCGCGGCUAUACUCUAUUUUUUAUGAAAAAAUAUGAUAGCCGCCGGGCUCUAUUGGGGUUUUUUGGUUUUUAUUUAUUUUUAAUAAAUAGUAUAUUUAUGCGGCUAUACGAUAUAUAUAUAUAUUGGGAUCCUUUUUUUUUCUUUUAAAUUUUUUCUCCUAUUUUCGUUUAUCGAUAAGAGUAUUUUAGAGUAUUAUCCAUUACUAUUAGGCUAUUACCCGAGUUUUUAUUGUCUCCUUUUAAUUUUUUACUUUUCAAAAGUUAUUACCCGUAUAAAGAAUUUAACACUUUCUCGUUUAAUACUCUAUUAUAUAUGUAUGUACGUAUUUUUCAAUAAUACAUCUUUGUUCUGUACACAUCUUAAAGACUCAUGAAGAAUUAAUGACCCAACUCAUAUAUUUGGUCACUGGUUUGACACUAGUUGUGACCAAUCAUGAUUUGGUCACUGCUGACCUUUUUUCUUGUAGUGAUUUAUAUCCCCAACAGAAGACAACUAAUCCAUCAAUCGGUAAGAAAAUCAAUGCGAAGUGAGAUAUUGAUAUCCUUGCAUCCAAGGUCAUGUGUAUGAAUACCCCUCUACCAAUAUCGCUUGUAUUAAAAAAAAAAAUCAAAAUCAAAAUCAAAGGCCUUCAUUGUUGAGCCUUCUGGCCCAUACAUACUUCUUCUUUAGGCUUAGAAUUCAUACCACGGGCUGAGAAUCGUUUAUUACUGCCCAGUACUGAGAUUGAGCUCAGGAAAGGAAGUAGGAAGAAAGAGACUCAAAGUUGAAAGCUUGAAUGGCGUGCCUUGUUGUGUCCAUGACCCUCUCCGUACCUCUCUCAGCCUCACAUUGCUUCACAAAGGUAAGUUCACAUUUACCAAACUUGUCGUCAACAAAAAAAGCCCCCAGCUUUUAUCCUUGAGGUUGAGCUGCUGAAACAAUCUUAGAAAACUUGGGAUUUGAAAGCAGGAGUGGGAAUAUGCUUCAGGAACAGUUGGAAACUUGGCAUUGGCUGCUUUGCGUAGUGCAGAUCAGGUGCACAAAGUUGUUGACUUUGAGAGAUACCUGAGGAGCACUCUCUCGUCAGAGUUCUAAACAUACCAUUUCAGAGCUAGUUUCCUUAAUGCAAUAGAUUCUUGGGUAUAAAUUCCUUGCAAUCUACAUACAAUUGUGAUGCAAACUUCAUUGACUCAGCGAUAGCAGUACAAACAUUUGUGAAAAUCAUAUAUAAUAAA